UGUUUCUUGGAACAGAACGUCACAGAGGGUGAGAAUCCCGUGCGAUGAGAUGAUCCAGGCCUAUGUAAAGUUCCUUCGAAGAGUCGAGUUGUUUGGGAAUGCAGCUCUAAGUGGGUGGUAAAUUCCAUCUAAAGCUAAAUAUUGGCGAGAGACCGAUAGCGAACAAGUACAGUGAUGGAAAGAUGAAAAGAACUUUGAAAAGAGAGUGAAAAAGUACGUGAAAUUGUUGAAAGGGAAGGGCUUGAGAUCAGACUUGGUAUUUUGUAUGUUACUUCUUCGGGGGUGGCCUCUACAGUUUAUCGGGCCAGCAUCAGUUUGGGCGGUAGGAGAAUUGCGUUGGAAUGUGGCACGGCUUCGGUUGUGUGUUAUAGCCU
rnacentral:rRNA from 1 species